rnacentral:rRNA from 1 species
UACGAAGGGUGCAAGCGUUACUCGGAAUUACUGGGCGUAAAGCGUGCGUAGGCGGUCUGUUAAGUCCGUUGUGAAAGCCCUGGGCUCAACCUUUGAAUGCCGCUGGAAACUGUCUGGCUUGAGUCCGGAAGGGGCGAGUGGAAUUCCUGGUGUAGCGGUGAAAUGCGCAGAUAUCAGGAGGAACACCAAUGGCGAAGGCAGCUCGCUGGAACGGUACUGACGCUGAGGCGCGAAAGCGUGGGGAGCGAACAGG